AUAACAAUCACCUGAAAAUCUUGUUAGAAGGCAGUUUCUGACUCCACAUACCUGGAUGGGGAAUGAGGUUCUGCAUUUCUAACAAGCUCCCAGGUGAUACUGAU
rnacentral:pre_miRNA from 1 species